rnacentral:rRNA from 1 species
AACGAACGCUGGCGGCAUGCCUAACACAUGCAGGUCGAACGAGACCUUCGGGUCUAGUGGCGCACGGGUGCGUAACGCGUGGGAACCUGCCCUUAGGUUCGGAAUAACUCCCCGAAAGGGGUGCUAAUACCGGAUAAUGUCUUCGGACCAAAGAUUUAUCGCCUUUGGAUGGGCCCGCGUUGGAUUAGCUAGUUGGUAGGGUAAAAGCCUACCAAGGCGACGAUCCAUAGCUGGUCUGAGAGGAUGAUCAGCCAAACUGGGACUGAGACACGGCCCAGACUCCUACGGGAGGCAGCAGUGGGGAAUAUUGGACAAUGGGCGAAAGCCUGAUCCAGCAAUGCCGCGUGAGCGAUGAAGGCCUUAGGGUUGUAAAGCUCUUUUACCCGGGAUGAUAAUGACAGUACCGGGAGAAUAAGCUCCGGCUAACUCCGUG